CAAAAAGAUUGAGAAAAUAGUCCUUUAUCCAAAAGUGGAAAAAUAAAGAGUUCCUUUAAGUUGUUGUUCAAAAAGAAAAAAUAGUUCCUUUCAAGUAGUUCCUUUCAAGUAGUUCAGUUAGUUCAGUUCAGAACAGUUCAAUCCUUGGUUCAGUUGUAAAGUGUCAAUUCAAGUAGUCAAUAAGUCAAGUCAGUCAUAGUCAGUAUGAUGUGACUCUAGUAGGCCACAAUCCUACCAGAUAUGCCAUGUGCAAUGACAUAGAACAGGAUCACACUCAAUGGUUGGGUUGGCUCGCCAUCAGAUGUAGUCGACGAAUCCUCAGCGAAAUCCAGAUCCAGCUCAAAAACUUGACCUGUGUAACCAUACCCUAAGUUAAGCUACACAUUCAGGGAACUUCCAGUUUCAGUUUUCUAUCACAUAUCAAACAGUUUCAAUUUCAAGUAGUUGUACAACAUUUAAAUCAAUAUUCUCAAAAGAAAAGCUAUGCAAACUGCAUACACUUUGUUCAUACUGAAAAGCAUUGCAUACCAUUCAGGUUAAUUACCAUUAUCAAGUAAACAGGAUGAAUACUAUGAAAUAUACUGAAAUCGCGGUAACCUUGCACAAACAUUACCGAGUACAGCGGCUAUCAUGAAAACACGUUCAGCUCUCUCACCUCUCACGCGCUGAGUGCGAGAUCACUGCAUGUGCAAUACGUUCAGCUCAUACCGAGCUUAAAGCUACUUAUUUCAACCAAAAUACACUUUCAGAAUCAUUACAACACGUAUUAACAAACAAAAUACAAUUCUUAGGUUUCACUGAAGUAUUUAGCAGUGAUAAACAUCAUAAGACUUAGGUUUCAGCAGUUCAGCAGAAAGAUAGAAAAGUUCUCUUACCGAGACGAUUCAAACAAAAAGAAAAACAUUCGAUGAAACAAAGCUUCUGGUCUUCAAAACAUACAGCAACAUACAGCGCUGGUCACUCAAUACUCCAAAAAGUAAACUUAUAGUUCAAAACAACUUAGAAUUACUUUCUUUCAAUAGUUUCUAUCUCCGAGGAAAAUGGAUGCCUCUGCUCUCUGGCUCCCGCUAGCUCAAAAGACAGAACGGCUCCACAGGAAACCGUAUGCCUGGAAAACGUACGUCAAAAUAAAAGCACACAUACGUAAGAGUCACAGUAAAAGUACUGCUAUAUCAAAUACAUGUAAAUCAUGUUUUUAACAAUGACAACCCAUCAUUCAUGAAUUGUUUCAUCAGAAUUACACCUGUUUAUUAUCCCUUUUUACUAUUUAUGCUUUUUAUCACUAUUUAUUGUACUUCCUUAUUAUGCAUUUGUCACCUGGGUUACACCCUCCCUCUCUAAACUGGCAUGAGUCCCUUCAUGACAUUUUCCUGUGGGAAAGGGUUACCCUCAAACGUUUCAACUAAAGCAUUGUUGAAAGCUUCAAGAAUACUGUGGGCAAAAGAAAUAAAUGGUUUGCCUAAUUGGGGAUAGGUAAACUUUGCGGGUGCUCUUUUCUGACGUUCAGAUCUACGCAAUGCGUCAUGAUCUGGCUCACUAACAGUAUCUGGACUCUCUACAGGACUUGACUCUGUAGGACAGGGUGUGUCAGUGUUGGGAACAACUGGCAAGUCAGAUACAGUCAGUAAUGGGGUUUCAGUGUCAGUCUUUUCAUGUUGAACAACUUCUGAUUCUACAGUGUCAUUCUGCUCUUGAGAAAUGUUAGUUGUCGGCUCACUUAAAGUGAUUGGUUCUUCUUCUUGAUCAUUCUCUGUUUGUUUUGUUUCUUCAGGUUCAAUGGAUGACUCAGGUUCCGCAUUCAUGUUGCUCUGGUUCGAAGGCAAUUCUUUUUCUACAGGCUCUACAUCAACUGAAUCAUCAGGUGGAAACUGAAUAAGGCUGGGUUCUUCUUCUGCAAUAGGAGAACUUGGGAUAUCAGAGCAUUGAACUUCAGGAGUAAGUUCAAGUAAGUUUUCAGGUAUAGUUUGAGAAUGAGUCGGAGGACUUGAUUCAUUUCCAAGCUGUGUAACAUCUGGAGCUCUUUCAGUUGAAUGCAUCACUUCAGGACCAAUGAUUCUUGUCUCUACCUCAAAACGUAGAGGAUAUGACAGCGGAUAGUCCUCUUCAUCAGACUCGUCAGGGUUUUCAGCUGGCUGAGUACUUUGUCUGGUUCUGGGUCUAGAGACUCGUACAGGCUGUUCAGGCUCUGCGUCUUCUUCAGCAAGAAACCCGCAGGGCAAUAGGAGAUCCCUGUGUAGAGUACGGGUGGGUCCGUCCUGACCAGCAGGACACACCGUGUAUACUGGCAACUCUCCUGCUCUCUUCUGUACAACAUACACAGUGGGCUCCCAUCGAUCAGCAAGUUUAUGCUUGGUGCGAAGUCUGAGGUUACGUACAAGAACUCGAUCGCCUACUUCCAGACAUGACUCUCUCACUCUCAUAUCAAACCUCUUUUUGUUCUUGUCAGCUACUUUCUUUGCAUUUUUAAUGGCAAUGUUGUAGCUUUCCUUCAAGUAGGACUUCAGAUUUUUCACGUACUGACAGUGUGACGUGGAUGAGGCUCCUUUGACUGGCAACCCAAAAGCUAUGUCGAUGGGCAAUCUGGGCUGGCGCCCAAACAUGAGCUCAUACGGAGAAUACCCAGUCACCUCAUUCCGAGUACAAUUGUAUGCGUGUGUUAAUGGCUUGACAUACUCGCGCCAUCUGGUCUUUUCUUUCUCCCUCAGAGUACCCAACAUACUCAGCAGAGUACGAUUGUAGCGCUCUACAGGGUUACCUCUGGGGUGAUAGGGACUUGUUCUGACUUUCUUUGUACCGACUAAGGCACAGAGCUCUUUGACAAUUUGUGACUCAAAGUCACGGCCUUGAUCGCUGUGUAGGCGCUCUGGGAAGCCAUAAUGGAUGAAGAAUUGCUCCCACAGGCAACGCGCGACAGUGAUGGCCUUUUGGUCUUUUGUAGGUAUCGCUACAGCAUACUUUGUGAAAUGGUCAGUAAUUACCAGUAUGUCCUUUGUGUUGUGGCUGUCCGGUUCGAGGGACAAGAAGUCCAUACAGACCAGUUCCAUGGGUCGGCUGGUUUGGAUACUGACCAUCGGCGCGGCCUUCUCUGGCUGAUGUUUGCGUUUGACACACCUCGGGCAGGUUUUGACCUUGGACUCAACAUCUGCUGACAUCUUCGGCCAAUAAAACCUGGACCUGGCCAGCUCAAGGGUGCGCUCGAUACCGAGAUGACCCAUCUCAUCAUGGAGACUGGUAAGUACGGAUGACCUCAAAACACGUGGAAGAACAAGUUGGUACUCUGUCCUGUCUUCACACUGUCGCUUUCGGUACAACAGUGAAUUCUUGACUUCAAGGCGGCUCAUCUCUCUCAGCAUAAGCAUCAGCUCUAGUGACUGUACGCCCUGUUGAGGUGCAGGCUCACCAGAUUCAAGUGCCUUGAUGAUCACGCUGAUUGAGGGAUCUUCUCGUUGUAGUCUGGCUAUAUCACCCUCGCUGUGCUGUGGAACAGAGCAGAGGCCUUGCAACUCUGACUCCGCAUCCUCAAACACGGGCGGAAUGGCAUCAGGGUGGAUAGCGAGUGACUCCACGAGACAAUGAGACGAAGACUCCUCAUUCACUGCUGCAUGGUACUGACAGGUGGCCUUGACAACUUCCACAGGAGUUAGAUGGUGGGAGGUGAAUUGAUGGAUCCGCAGACUCUCCUCUUGUGAGCAGUUGUCAUUCACCAGUGGUCCGUGAGGCCUCCUUGACAGACCAUCAGCGUCUUGGUUUUGCUUGCCCGCACGAUACUGGAUGUCAAAAGAGAAGGUGGACAGGGCAGCUAGCCAACGAUAGCUGGUCGCGUCUAGCUUCGCCGUGGUAAGAAUGUACCGAAGCGGAUUGUUGUCAGUCACAACAGUGAAUGAAUGCCCAUAUAAGUAGUCUUGAAAUUUUUCAACGACAGCCCAUUUUAAGGCUAAAAAUUCCAACUUAUGCGCUGGGUAUCUUGCUUCACUUUGUGACAGGCCACGGCUGGCGUAAGCUAUUACGCGCUUCUGUCCAUCCUGUUCUUGAUACAGGGCAGCUCCGAGUCCCGUAGUGCUUGCGUCUGUAUGCAAGACGUAUGGCAACUCCGGAUUAGCAAAACCCAGGACUGGCGAUGAGGUGAGUCUUUCAAUUAUUUGUUCGAAGGCAAUCUGACAAGCUGGUGUCCAUCUCUCUCCGAAUGGCUCCUUCGGAUGGAAGUACAUCACGUCAGUCUUGGUUUUCUGGGCGGACUUUCGUGCUGGUGGAUAUCCCGCAGUUAGCUUAGUCAGCGGUUUGACUAUUUUUGAAUAAUCCUGCACAAACCUCCGGUAAUAACCAGAGAAACCGAGAAAAGAACGGAGUUCUUUCAAGGUACGGGGUCUCGGCCAAGUCUUGAGUGCUUCGAUCUUCUGGGGAUCGGUCUCCACUCCUUUCUGUGAGACAAUGUGUCCCAAAUAACGUACAGAUGUUUGAAAGAAGCGGCAUUUCUCUGGAGAUAACUUGAGGCCAUUCUCCCUCAGUCGAUCCAGGACUUUGGUUAGACGAGCCUCAUGUUCCUCCAGCGUUUGGGAGAAGACUAUGAUGUCGUCAAGGAAUACUAGCACUUCACGCAGAUGGAUAUCGCCCAUGCACUUCUCCAUUAAGCGCUGGAACGUGCUUGGAGCGUUCGUGAUUCCUUGUGGCAUACGAUUCCACUCCCAAAAUCCGAGGGGACAUACAAAAGCAGUUUUUGGUUUGUCAUCUUCGUGCAUCUCAAUCUGGUAAUAUCCGGAUUUCAGAUCCAUCACGGAAAACCACUGUGAUCCGCUUAACGCAGAAAAUGACUCUUCAAGAUUCGGUAACGCAUAAGCGUCUUUGAUCGUUUGCAUAUUCAAUCUCCUAUAGUCAACACAUAGGCGUGGGUCGCCAUUCUUCUUUUUCACUACGACUAUAGGUGAAGCAUAUGGGGAUUCUGAUUCACGGAUGAUACCCGCUUCAAGAAGGGUUUGAAGAUGUCGUCUCACAGCGUCGUAAUCCUUAGGAUGGAUAGGACGGGGUCGAUGCUUAAAUGGCGUCUCAUCCUUCAGUUUGAUACGAUGUUUGACUUUCGUCGCGUGACCAAAAUCGAGGUCAUGAUGGGAAAACACAUCAGAGUAGGUGUUCAGUGUCUGUGUUAUUCGUUCCUUCCAUUUUGCAGGAAGUGGAGAAUUUCCGAAUUCAAAACUCAGGCUGGCAUUCUGCUGCUCUUCAUGACAGGAAUGUUGCUGACUGGAGCAGACAGUGGAUGACAGGGGCAAUUGACUGGGGCUACAGGUGUUGUGAGUCUGGCUGAUCUCAUGAGGUAUAGCGAGUUCUGCAAUGACAGAGUUACUUGGCAAGACGAUGUCAUGGCUGGUUUCAUUUCGCAGCAAAACUGGCACCUUGUACGGGGAACGUGCCGGAAUAGAGAUCAAGCAGCUGUCAAUAAAGAUUCCCCCUGGCAAGGACGAGAUAGAGGGCUCUUCAAGUACUGCCCAUCUCUCGUUGUUCGCUUCACUUCCAAAAACAAAGCCUUCCAAGACAACCUUCCGUCCGGCAGGGACAAUACCUGGUUCAUGACGACUUAACUUCACAACACCAAUCUGACCCUCUGAGUUUUGUUUUCGUCUGAGCUCCAGGGUUUUCAGGACUUGUUGGUAGCCACAGUAUGUGUUGCUUACCAGAGGACUUUCAUCACAGAACUGUUCAUAGAGGGGGUCUAGAGUAUUCGUACCAAUUAGCACAGGCACGCUACUGUUGGAGCGAGUGUCUGGUACUAUCAGGGCAAGAGUCUGUACUUCAGGUUGUGAAGCCAUAAAUUCUUUAGGGAACUGCAUACUUAACUGUAUGUAGCCUAGGUAGGGGACUGCCUGGCCGUUUGCACCUUCAACGUCCAGUAUGUCACUCACUGGGCGUAUCGGGUGAUCAGAGAGGUGUGAAUCAUAGUAAGACUGAGACACAGUCGUAACUUGUGACCCAGUGUCAAGCAGUGAGUUACAUUCAAUUCCAUUCACUUUCACAUGUGCUGUGCUCUUUUUUCCUACUAGGCCUCUAGGCAGUUCUCCUGUUCUUACAGCUCUGUGUUCGUUAAGUGUCACUUUUUCCUUGACUUUCUGUGUCGUGGUGGGACUGUUUGUCAACUCUGUUCCUAUUUGUCCCUCAAUAGAAACAGUUACUUGUUUAAAGAACUUUCAACAACAGGGUUUGCUUUUUCCCACGCUGUCUGUCUUUCUUUCAGCUCUUUUCUCUUUGCGUUAACUAGUGCAGGGUUUGGUGUAUCAGUGCAGCUGGUUGCUAUAUGCCCAUCCUCACCACAUUGGAAACAAUACCACGGUCUGGGCUUUUUCGGCGUGGUGUCUGGUUUUUGUGCUUGUGCUUCAGCACUGGCUUGUUCUUUUGGUGUAGGUUUCGGCUUUUUCUUUCCAGCUUGGGGUUUAUUUGGCGGUUUGUCUUUGGGGUAGGAAAGCGCUGCAAUCUGAGCUUGGAGGUCAGCUAUCUGCUUUUGAAGCUGAUUCAUCGCUGAUGGAGGAGUUUCAGAUGGACAUGGUAAGUCAUACUCGUUGUUAGGUUCAUACAGGUUCUGUGCUUGAGCUUGAACUUGGACUUUGGUCUUUGUGAAACCGAGAUGCUGUUUCAUUCUGUUCGCUUUGGCUGUUUGUUUAUCUUCUUCCAUGCGCAGGAGCAACAGCAGCUCUGUAAAGGUGGGGGCUGCUCCUUUCGCUUUUCAAGCUGAAGUGUGCUGAUCAAAGUAUUAUUCCAACAGCCUCUGCAGAAUUGUUUCAGAAGCUGUCUGUCUGAAUCAGUUGGUGAUAUGGCUUUCACCUUCACAAUCUUGUUCAGAGCGGUCUGAAGACGAUGAAGAUAACCGGAUGGCUUCUCACCGGAGUUCUGGUUGAUGUUAAGAAACUCUGCAAACAGAUCGUCUCCAUCUUUCACUAUGCCAUAAGCAGAAUCGAGCAGGUCAAGAUAAGCUCUUGGGGGACAAUAAGGACCUAAUGACUUCACUACUGUAGCAGCUGGGGUUAAAAGACUGUCAACAAUCUUCCUCACAAGUUGUCCUUUAGGGACAGACGGAUCAGCUAUGUAAAACUCCACAUUGUUUCGCCAUGUGUCGUAAUCAACCUCAGUGCUUGGACAUGGAACUCUGCCCGAAAAAGUCCUCAGCUUCACUGAGUGUAGGUCUGAACGAAGGUCGGAGCUCUUCACUACAUGCUCAACAAUGAACCGUUGCAUCUCAGGCGGGUUCAGGUGAUCAGGCGCUGGCUUCAGUUGCGGAAGUGAGUCAGGUCGGCUUAUGUCAGGGGUAAUAGUUCUAGUGGGCUCUAGAGUGUGUGCAUUUUCGGGUUCAGUACAAGAGGGAGUCUGUGCUGUUGGUUUAUCACCUAAGUCAAUUAGCUCUGUAUCUUUAACGUUUUCAGCUGCUGGCUUUGUCUGGCCAACAAGGUUAGAGAUUCUGGCUAACUCAUCUUGUAAGAGUGUUUCAAACGAUUUCCCACUAAGUUUGGCAAUGUCCUUAAGCUGAGUUAGGAAUGACUCUGUUAAACCUGUACCUUUCUCUGAUGAGUACACAUUUGCAAGAGCAUCAACAUGGUGAACAAUGUCAGUGUUACCGUCACAAACUCUGUCAAAAGGCAAAGAACCUUGGAGUGUUUCAACAGCUAAUCCAGAUUCAAAUUCAAGAACGACUUGGUCGCUAGCAUCAGGCACUUUGAUUAUUCUGGAAAUUUUACCAUAUUGCUUCAAAUAUUCAAAAACCUCAUUGUCAACCUCAGUUUCUGUUAAACCCCUUAUAAGAAGAGAGUAAGGCACUUUCACACUAGCUAGUGUAACAAUUUCCAUUGUAAUCAAAACAAAACACAACACUUAAAGGCAAUAGUCAAAAAGAGAAAAAAUACAAAAAAUUGUGGCGAUUGCACUUAAAAUAAACACUCCUGGCUGGCUCGCCAAGUUUUACCGUGUAACCCACUACUGAGUAUGUACACGUCACUGUUGGACCAGUUUCUAAUAACUAGAAAACAAGAGACACUAAGCUCUGCAAGACAAGUGCAAUUAAAAGACACCACACAAGGAUAUAAGGUUUUUCUUCUUUUAGUAAUGAAUUGAAAAGUUAGAACUGUUUACAAAUGAAAAUUAGACCUUUUUAAAUAAAAUAAAAAGUAAAUUGUCCUUCAAAAAGAUUGAGAAAAUAGUCCUUUAUCCAAAAGUGGAAAAAUAAAGAGUUCCUUUAAGUUGUUGUUCAAAAAGAAAAAAUAGUUCCUUUCAAGUAGUUCCUUUCAAGUAGUUCAGUUAGUUCAGUUCAGAACAGUUCAAUCCUUGGUUCAGUUGUAAAGUGUCAAUUCAAGUAGUCAAUAAGUCAAGUCAGUCAUAGUCAGUAUGAUGUGACUCUAGUAGGCCACAAUCCUACCAGAUAUGCCAUGUGCAAUGACAUAGAACAGGAUCACACUCAAUGGUUGGGUUGGCUCGCCAUCAGAUGUAGUCGACGAAUCCUCAGCGAAAUCCAGAUCCAGCUCAAAAACUUGAC
rnacentral:lncRNA from 1 species